rnacentral:rRNA from 1 species
CAAUAGCGUAUAUUAAGUUGUUGCGGUUAAAGCUCGUAGUUGGAUUUCUGCUGAGGACGACCGGUCCGCCCUCUGGGUGAGUAUCUGGCUCGGCCUUGGCAUCUUCUUGGAGAACGCAACUGCACUUGACUGUGUGGUGUGGUAUCCAGGACUUUACUUGAGGAAAUUAGAGUGUUUCAAGCAGGCAUUUGCCUUGAAUACAUUAGCAUGGAAUAAUAAGAUAGGACCUUGGUUCUAUUUUGUUGGUUUCUAGAGCUGAGGUAAUGAUUAAUAGGGAUAGUUGGGGGCAUUCGUAUUAACACGUCAGAGGUGGAAUUCUUGGAUUGUGUUACGACGAACUACUGCGAAAAGCAUUUGCCAAG